rnacentral:rRNA from 1 species
CCUACGGGAGGCAGCAGUGAGGAAUAUUGGUCAAUGGGCGAGAGCCUGAACCAGCCAAGUCGCGUGAAGGAUGACGGCCCUACGGGUUGUAAACUUCUUUUGUCAGGGAGCAAUUGAGUCCACGUGUGGUCUUAGCGAGAGUACCUGCAGAAAAAGCAUCGGCUAACUCGGUGCCAGCAGCCUCGGUAAUACGGAGGAUUCGAGCGUUAUCCGGAUUUAUUGGGGUUGAAGGGUGCGUAGGCGGAAUAUCAAGUCGGCGGUAAAAAUUCGGGGCUCAACCCCAUCCAGCCGUUGAAACUGGGGAUCUAGAGUGUGCGAGAGGGAUGCGGAAUGCGUGGUGUAGCGGUGAAAUGCAUAGAUAUCACGCAGAACCCCGAUUGCGAAGGCAGCAUACCGGUGCACAACUGACGCUCAGGCACGAAAGCGUGGGUAUCGAACAGGAUUAGAUACCCGAGUAGUC